AUCUGCCAAAACCCCACAUACAAAAAUCAUUAGCCAGAUUUCAAGACUACCUCCCGCAAGCGAAACUGCUUGAACAUAGUGCAACUUGGAGAAGGAGAGCUCGAGUCCAAGCGUAAAUAGGAGGAAUAUGACUCCAAACUGAGCCAAGGUCUCGACCUGCCGAAGGGAUUUUAUCAAUGAGGCAGAAGAAUAAGUUCACGCACGAAAUGUUCACCUGUACAAGCUCUAUGACUAAACCCAUGCCCCCAGGACCGACACAUGAACCGGCAACGAGAUAGCCAGUGCUUACCGGCUGCCCGAGUAAGCUACUUAUGAUUGCCCCAGAUGCCGCGCCCACAAUGACGGUAAUGAGGUCACUGAUUAGGCGAAGGUCCACAUAAAAGGCCAGGAUGUCACUAAUCACUUAAGGCGGUUCGUGCAAUCAAGGAGAAAAGAUAAUGAGUCUCGCCCAAACCUUGCUGCAGCUCGAAAGCACCAGACUUUGGGUUCGAUAUGACGAAUUCGUUGUCGCGCACGUCGACAAGACGCGUUACAUCCACGUGAUGACUUUCGCCGCCUAACAUGCGAUCUAGAUCUUUUGCAGAAAACUCAAGCCGUUUCAG
rnacentral:lncRNA from 1 species